rnacentral:rRNA from 1 species
ACGGGUGAGUAAUGUCUGGGGAUCUGCCCGAUAGAGGGGGAUAACCACUGGAAACGGUGGCUAAUACCGCAUAACGUCGCAAGACCAAAGAGGGGGACCUUCGGGCCUCUCACUAUCGGAUGAACCCAGAUGGGAUUAGCUAGUAGGCGGGGUAACGGCCCACCUAGGCGACGAUCCCUAGCUGGUCUGAGAGGAUGACCAGCCACACUGGAACUGAGACACGGUCCAGACUCCUACGGGAGGCAGCAGUGGGGAAUAUUGCACAAUGGGCGCAAGCCUGAUGCAGCCAUGCCGCAUGUAUGAAGAAGGCCUUCGGGUUGUAAAGUACUUUCAGCGGGGAGGAAGGCGAUGUGGUUAAUAACCGCAUUGAUUGACGUUACCCGCAGAAGAAGCACCGGCUAACUCCGUGCCAGCAGCCGCGGUAAUACGGAGGGUGCAAGCGUUAAUCGGAAUUACUGGGCGUAAAGCGCACGCAGGCGGUCUGUUAAGUCAGAUGUGAAAUCCCCGGGCUUAACCUGGGAACUGCAUUUGAAACUGGCAGGCUUGAGUCUCGUAGAGGGGGGUAGAAUUCCAGGUGUAGC